GCUCAACUCUGUGAAUAUUUUUUCUUAUGGGAAACUAAUAUGUGUUAAUUUAUUCCUCUCAGGUCAUGAAUGCUUACAUGUACCAUUUGGUACAAAAAUACAAUAAGCAUUCAACAAAAAAGGCUAUGUGCAUUGAUUCGUAUGAAAUGAGCAACAUCUGGCAAUAUAAAAGGGCAAAGGUCAAGUUUGCAGAAUGCUUCUUAAAUGAUGAGCCGCUUCAGUUUUCCACAUCUGAAAAAAGUGUGGCUGCCCUAAGAAUGACUAUAGCUGCUUGUCUCCUGUAGAACACUGUCUGCCUUGGCAUGAUAUUUGACUAGCUAACGUUAAGAACCUGUGCCAUCUAUGUGGGGAAAGAAGCAGUGGUCAAAAAUUGACUAACUGGAUUGGCUGUGAUGUUUGCCCAUGUUGGUUCCAUUACAACUGUGUCCAACGCUCAAGAAAACACUGAAGUUACAUCUGCCCCGUUUGUGAAUCUUGAAUCUUGAAUCUUACACUCACAUGUCGAUUUACAGCGAUCAUUUAUUUUAUGUAAUGUAAGUGUUAAGUUUUAUUUCUUUUACAGUUUUAUUUUAAAACAUUGUUUGCUUAUUGUAAUUUCCAUGUCAUUUUAAUACUACUACUGUAAUACCGUUAAUGUAACACUAUGUAAACUGUUAAUAAAAACACCUAA